rnacentral:rRNA from 1 species
UACGGGGGGGGCAAGCGUUGUUCGGAAUUACUGGGCGUAAAGGGCUCGUAGGCGGCCAACUAAGUCGGAUGUGAAAUCCCCAGGCUUAACCUGGGAACUGCAUCCGAUACUGGAUGGCUUGAAUCCGGGAGAGGGAUGCAGAAUUCCAGGUGUAGCGGUGAAAUGCGUAGAUAUCUGGAGGAAUACCGGUGGCGAAGGCGGCCUUCUGGACCAGUACUGACGCUCAUGCACGAAAGCGUGGGGAGCAAACAGG